GUGUGUACUUUGUACAUCUGGCUUCCUCCAUUGGACUAAAAGUUUAGUGGGACAGCUGAGGGAAGGCAUCUUUUCUGAGUUCUUUUUUAUUUCUCUCCCAUUUGGUAGGUAUUCAAAUAUUUGUUGAAUGGAUGAGGAAAAUCCCACCCCUUCCCCAACACACGCAGAGAAUCAGCUGUUGGAGAGCUCCAAAGGAUUUCAUCACAACCAUGCUAUUAACCAUGAAAAUCCAUUUACUUCCCGUCAAGGUACUUGUGGUGCAUCAGAAAUCGUGAGUUGUACUCCAUGCUUCAUCACAGCUAAAUCUUGGAAGCAGCCAAUACAUCCAUCAGUGGAACUUUGGUCUUGAGGCCCCUAAUGCUGAGGUCCUCAUUAGUCAUACAGUUAGAAAAUGAAGAUGUGAAGGAUUAUCUUUCUUAACAUCACACAAUUACUCAGGAGCAGAACCACGUCUGGUUUAAUCCUGAAGAGCAAUGUGUAUAAAGUCAAACAGGCCCAGGUUCAGAUUCCAUCUUGUCACUGAAUGAGAAAUGCGACCUUGAGGAAACUGUGUUUGUAAGCUCUCUCUGUUUUAUUUUUAAAAUGGAACUAAUAAUAGUACUUUUCUUAUAAGCAAUCUUAAGAAUGAAAGUAAUCAUAAAUAUUAUAUGGGACUCAUUCUGUGCCUUACCAUAAGCCACCAAGGUGGAUAGGUUAUUAUUUUCUUCAUAGAUAGGAGCAUAAGUCAGAGAUGGAUCGAGUAGCUUGCUUAACAUCCC
rnacentral:lncRNA from 1 species